rnacentral:rRNA from 1 species
CCUACGGGAGGCAGCAGUAGGGAAUAUUGCUCAAUGGGGGAAACCCUGAAGCAGCAACGCCGCGUGGAGGAUGAAGGUUUUCGGAUUGUAAACCUCUUUUGUUAGAGAAGAACAUGACGGUAACUAACGAAUAAGCACCGGCUAACUCCGAGCCAGCAGCCGCGGUAAUACGGAGGGUGAAAGCGUUACUCGGAAGCACUGGGCGUAAAGAGCGCGUAGGCUGGAUAGCAAGUCAGAUGGGAAAUCCUAUGGCUUAACCGUAGAACUGCAUUUGAAACUGGUAUUCUAGAGUAUGGGAGAGGUAAGUGGAAUUCUAGGGGUAGGGGUAAAAUGCGUAGAUAUCAAGAGGAAUACUCAUUGCGAAGGCGGCCUGCUAGAACGUAACUGACGCUGAGGCGCGAAAGCGUGGGGAGCAAACAGGAUUAGAUACCCCAGUAGUC